CACCAGGUUGAUUCUGCCUGACGUAGAUGCUAGUCUCUAAGAUUAAGCCAUGCAUGUUUAUGUAAUAAGGACGAAUAGCUCAGUAGAACUGCGAUUAUUUAAUCUGUUUGUGUAAGAUAACUACGUGAAAAUGUAGCUAAGAGAGAACAGAAUAAGACGUAGGACUAUCAGUUAGUUGGUAGUGUAAUGGACUACCAAGACUAUAACGGUUAACGGGGAAUUAGGGUUUUAUACCGGAGAGGGAGCCUGAGAGAUUGCUCCCACGUCCAAGGACGGCAGCAGGCGCGAAAAUUGCCCACUGUUUGUAGGAGGCAGUUAUGAGACGUAAAGAUGAAUAUUUGGUAAAGAGAAAUAGGAAGAAUUGGAGGGCAAGUUUGGUGCCAGCAGCCGCGG
rnacentral:rRNA from 1 species